rnacentral:rRNA from 1 species
AUGGGGGAGCUUGGUUGGCAUCCGAAACUACCUAAACAUAAUGUCCCUUGGGAGGUUGUACAACAACCAAAAGGUGGCCAUGAGGAUGAUGAGGAUGUAGACACGGCCUGCGAUAUUCAAUCCCAUACUCUGUGGAGCACGAUUGCUCCAGCAAUGGGGGGGGGGGUCAACAUGUACAUCAAGAUUGAGAGUUGUAGGUUGAAAUGCUACAGGAAGAACCAGAUAAAGAUCUGUGCCGACCUAUAUAAAGGAGUUGUUGAUGCGAUCACAUCCGGGAAGACACGAGCAAGUGCUGUUGGAGUAAGGAUAGUGCUCCCUGGAACGUAUCCUAGUGGCGACCGAGACAUGAUGCAGAGGCAUAUGGAUGCCAUGGCAAUUGUCCAUACAUACGGGAAGCCUGACAUCUUCUUGACCAUGACCUGCAACCCUAAUUGGGAAGAGAUAUCGAAUGAGUUGUUUCUUGAUUUGGACUUGCCCGAAAAGGAAAGAGGGCCCUUUCCACAAAUGGAAAGCGCGGGGAUUUGGACUUGCCCGAAAAGGAAAGAGGGCCCUUUCCACAAAUGGAAAGCGCGGGGUGGGGCCGAGACGUCAGUGGCUCAAGCAAAUAUACAAAAAAGAGGGGUUUUUAACCCGAGCCUGAGGGGAUUUGAACCCCCGACCUCCUGGAUGCAGGAGUGUGGGGAGAACCACUGCGUUGCAGCGGCUGUUGUUGAUAGGAAGGGGCGCGGCCCAUUAAGAGAGAACCCAGGGUCGAGCCUCUCUGUGGAGCAGGCGGCGAUGAGCUACUCCGAGCUCGAGCUCAAGCUCGGCCGAAGCAUGGGGCUAGGGACGCCGGACGGCUAUCAAAUCACGCCCAUGUCCGACGUGGACACGCUGGAUGCACUGCCGUACAGGAGGACGAAGCUCCUGUACGCGUGGGCUGACUGGGCUUCGGUAUGCUCCAGCAUAAAGGCCGUCAAAUACCAUUACAAGUACGUAUACAAGGGGCAUGAUAGGGCUUAUUUUAGCAUCGACCAACCCGAUGUCGAUGGUAACAUUGAUGAGGUCAAAAGAUACAUCGGUGCGAGGUGGGUUACUCCUCCGGAGGCGAUGUGGAGGAUAUUUGGCUUCCCCCUAUGUGCCAACUCCCCGCAAAUAUUGUACAAGGAUUUUCCUGGAAGCUUCACAUGGCAGAAGGGACCAAAAUAUUGGAAGCCGCGGGUGGAGCGUUAUCAAAUAGGUCAAAUCGUGUCUGCCAAUCCUGCCGAAGGGGAGCGAUACUAUCUGUGUUUGUUGCUAAACCAUGUUCUGGGCAAGACAUCCUUCCAUGUGGUAGCUUUCAAGAGCCUGCUGAGAGGCUGGGACUCAUCGAGGCAGACAACACGUUCGACGAUUGUCUUAUUGAGGCAGAGUAGUGGGCGAUGCCAUGUUCGCUUGGAGGCUCUUCACAACUAUCUUGGUGUACUAGGAGGUCACAGGCGAGGCAGAGGAAGGCGGGGCGUGGUCGAGGUGGCUGGGUUCGCCGGCGGGGACGACGCCAUAGAGAGAGGAGCAGACGGGAGGAGCUCCCUCCCGUUCAGGGUAGCAGGGAUCUCUUGGUGGCUCCGAUCGAAGGAGCUCAGGCUCAAGCGCUGGUUGGAUGACUGCACAGAUCAAGGGAGGGGGCUGCGGGUGCUGAAUGGAACACCAACCAACAAGUAUGUGGUGGAUUUGGAUGGAGUCUCGCAGAAGAAGAGUACGCGCGCUAGCGCGCCCCAAGACGUCAGUCCUUUUUUUGCUUGCUGGCCAAGGUAA